GGGUGAGUAACACGUGGGUAACCUGCCUGUUAAGACUGGGAUAACUCCGGGAAACCGGAGCUAAUACCGGAUAGUUCCUUGAACCGCAUGGUUCAAGGAUGAAAGACGGUUUCGGCUGUCACUUACAGAUGGACCCGCGGCGCAUUAGCUAGUUGGUGAGGUAACGGCUCACCAAGGCGACGAUGCGUAGCCGACCUGAGAGGGUGAUCGGCCACACUGGGACUGAGACACGGCCCAGACUCCUACGGGAGGCAGCAGUAGGGAAUCUUCCGCAAUGGACGAAAGUCUGACGGAGCAACGCCGCGUGAGUGAUGAAGGUUUUCGGAUCGUAAAGCUCUGUUGUUAGGGAAGAACAAGUGCAAGAGUAACUGCUUGCACCUUGACGGUACCUAACCAGAAAGCCACGGCUAACUACGUGCCAGCAGCCGCGGUAAUACGUAGGUGGCAAGCGUUGUCCGGAAUUAUUGGGCGUAAAGGGCUCGCAGGCGGUUUCUUAAGUCUGAUGUGAAAGCCCCCGGCUCAACCGGGGAGGGUCAUUGGAAACUGGGAAACUUGAGUGCAGAAGAGGAGAGUGGAAUUCCACGUGUAGCGGUGAAAUGCGUAGAGAUGUGGAGGAACACCAGUGGCGAAGGCGACUCUCUGGUCUGUAACUGACGCUGAGGAGCGAAAGCGUGGGGAGCGAACAGGAUUAGAUACCCUGGUAGUCCACGCCGUAAACGAUGAGUGCUAAGUGUUAGGGGGUUUCCGCCCCUUAGUGCUGCAGCUAACGCAUUAAGCACUCCGCCUGGGGAGUACGGUCGCAAGACUGAAACUCAAAGGAAUUGACGGGGGCCCGCACAAGCGGUGGAGCAUGUGGUUUAAUUCGAAGCAACGCGAAGAACCUUACCAGGUCUUGACAUCCUCUGACAACCCUAGAGAUAGGGCUUUCCCUUCGGGGACAGAGUGACAGGUGGUGCAUGGUUGUCGUCAGCUCGUGUCGUGAGAUGUUGGGUUAAGUCCCGCAACGAGCGCAACCCUUGAUCUUAGUUGCCAGCAUUCAGUUGGGCACUCUAAGGUGACUGCCGGUGACAAACCGGAGGAAGGUGGGGAUGACGUCAAAUCAUCAUGCCCCUUAUGACCUGGGCUACACACGUGCUACAAUGGACAGAACAAAGGGCUGCGAGACCGCAAGGUUUAGCCAAUCCCACAAAUCUGUUCUCAGUUCGGAUCGCAGUCUGCAACUCGA
rnacentral:rRNA from 1 species